AGUGAACGCUGGCGGUAGGCCUAACACAUGCAAGUCGAACGGCAGCACAGUAAGAGCUUGCUCUUACGGGUGGCGAGUGGCGGACGGGUGAGGAAUACAUCGGAAUCUACUUUUUCGUGGGGGAUAACGUAGGGAAACUUACGCUAAUACCGCAUACGACCUACGGGUGAAAGCAGGGGAUCUUCGGACCUUGCGCGAUUGAAUGAGCCGAUGUCGGAUUAGCUAGUUGGCGGGGUAAAGGCCCACCAAGGCGACGAUCCGUAGCUGGUCUGAGAGGAUGAUCAGCCACACUGGAAAUGAGACAAGGUCCAGACUCCUAAGGGAGGCAGCAGUGGGGAAUAUUGGACAAUGGGCGCAAGCCUGAUCCAGCCAUACCGCGUGGGUGAAGAAGGCCUUCGGGUUGUAAAGCCCUUUUGUUGGGAAAGAAAAGCAGCAGGUUAAUACCCCGCUGUUCUGACGGUACCCAAAGAAUAAGCACCGGCUAACUUCGUG
rnacentral:rRNA from 1 species